CUCGGCAACACUGUACCGUACAGUGAGGUUGUUGUUCAGUCUGUUGUCCGCGUUUGCACGGCAAAAGAGAUCGGUUGUGAUAUUGAAACUGAAAGUGUUUCUCUUACGUUAACAAUUAAGCUUCCGGGAAAGCACGACGUUUCCCCCCCGAAGAAUUCUCUGCUGCAGUGAAACAUGACCUGACAUAUACCGCGUUCAUGUGCUGGUACUCGAGAUUGCGACAUCCUCUGCAAUUUUACAGUUGGUUUGGAGCAGGCUUUUGGAGAGGUCGUUUAUGUGAGUAGGCUACUAUCAACUAAUGCUUUUCCAUAGCAGGAAAACAGUUACAUGUUUGAAGACAAAUUUCGUAAUGAAAUUGAAGCUAACAUUGGACAAUAUUUUAACUUCACUUUUAAUUUUGUAUGCGUAUGGCUCAGCUGAUUAAUUAUGCAGAUCUUAAUAAUAUUUUUUACAUAACCUUCGCAGUAGUCCUAAUCUAUAUAAUAUUCACAUAAUUCACCUGAACUAUAUUUAAUUCAUAAUUGUAUUAAAGAUUGAAUAUUUCUGGGAGCUGCAGGCUAAUCAUCCUGUGAAGGCACUUGACCAUGGAUUCCCCAAUGUGCCUGGUCGAAAACGCCGAUGGCGAGCUUCAUGUAGUUCCUGGUGCUAUCAAGUACCCGAUGGGACUGAACCAGAAAGUCAUAGUGGUGGCGGUGGUCGGGCUGUACCGCACCGGCAAGUCUUACCUCAUGAACAAGCUGGCUGGAAAGAGAAAAGGUUUUGCCCUGGGAGCCACCAUCCAAUCCAAGACUAAGGGAAUCUGGAUGUGGUGUGUGCCUCACCCU